rnacentral:rRNA from 1 species
CAUUCCACGGAUUCCGUGACGCAGCUAACGCAUUAAGUUCCCCGCCUGGGGAGUACGGCCGCAAGGCUAAAACUCAAAGGAAUUGACGGGGACCCGCACAAGCGGCGGAGCAUGCGGAUUAAUUCGAUGCAACGCGAAGAACCUUACCAAGGCUUGACAUAUACGAGAACGGGCCAGAAAUGGUCAACUCUUUGGACACUCGUAAACAGGUGGUGCAUGGUUGUCGUCAGCUCGUGUCGUGAGAUGUUGGGUUAAGUCCCGCAACGAGCGCAACCCUCGUUCUAUGUUGCCAGCACGUAAUGGUGGGAACUCAUGGGAUACUGCCGGGGUCAACUCGGAGGAAGGUGGGGAUGACGUCAAAUCAUCAUGCCCCUUAUGUCUUGGGCUUCACGCAUGCUACAAUGGCCGGUACAAAGGGCUGCAAUACCGCGAGGUGGAGCGAAUCCCAAAAAGCCGGUCCCAGUUCGGAUUGAGGUCUGCAACUCGACCUCAUGAAGUCGGAGUCGCUAGUAAUCGCAGAUCAGCAACGCUGCGGUGAAUACGUUCCCGGGUCUUGUACACACCGCCCGUCAAGUCAUGAAAGUCGGUAACACCUGAAGCCGGUGGCCUAACCCUUGUGGAGGGAGCCGUCGAAGGUGGGAUCGGUAAUUAGGACUAAGUC